rnacentral:rRNA from 1 species
AUUGGACGCUGGCGGCAGGCCUAACACAUGCAAGUCGAGCGGAUGAAGGGAGCUUGCUCCUGGAUUCAGCGGCGGACGGGUGAGAAAUGCCUAGGAAUCUGCCUGGUAGUGGGGGAUAACGUCCGGAAACGGGCGCUAAUACCGCAUACGUCCUGAGGGAGAAAGUGGGGGAUCUUCGGACCUCACGCUAUCAGAUGAGCCUAGGUCGGAUUAGCUAGUUGGUGGGGUAAAGGCCUACCAAGGCGACGAUCCGUAACUGGUCUGAGAGGAUGAUCAGUCACACUGGAACUGAGACACGGUCCAGACUCCUACGGGAGGCAGCAGUGGGGAAUAUUGGACAAUGGGCGAAAGCCUGAUCCAGCCAUGCCGCGUGUGUGAAGAAGGUCUUCGGAUUGUAAAGCACUUUAAGUUGGGAGGAAGGGCAGUAAGUUAAUACCUUGCUGUUUUGACGUUACCAACAGAAUAAGCACCGGCUAACUUCGUG